UUUUUUUUUUUUUUUUUUGUCUUUUUUGAGGGCUGCACAAGUGGCAUAUGGAGUUUCCCAGACUAGGGGUCGAAUUGGAGCUACAGCUGCUGGCCUAUGCCACAGCCACAGCAGCAGGGGGUCUGAGCCUCAUCAGCAACCAACACCACAGCUCACGGCGACACCAGAUACUUAAUCCACUGAGCAAAGCCAGGGAUCAAACCCUGCAUCCUUGUGGAUACUGGUGGGGUUUGUUAACCACUGAGCCAUGACAAGAACUCCCCCACCCCUGCAUCUUUCAAAUCUCCAAUGUCUUGGGAUAAUUUUUAUUGGAAUUUGGGGUUCCAUGUCAGUCCCCAUACCGUGAUAGGGAUAUGCUAUGGAUGCUUAACCAUUCACCUAUUGGAAGGGGGUUUUAUUCCUUAAAGUUGGGGGGGUAACAACGUGGGGUCCGGAGAGGUGUGGUCUCCCAUUGGCCUUAUUCAGUUCCCCAUAUCAGUCCUUGUCCAGUAGAGUCUUAGGGGUGGAAAUGUCCUGUAAGUCUCAUAGUUUCUUUGUCCUUCCCAUAAACUGAGGCACAGGGGAUUAGGGAUUACUGUCCAUCUGGGCGUAGGUUCACUCCCUAUAGUAAACAAGGCGUGUGGGGGUGUUACUCCCUGGAGCCUUUAAGCCACAAAUGUUAAUCAGUGGCCCCAUCAAAGAAGGGGGGAAGCCCAUGCUCCUACACGGACUCCCUGAGUUAGAAUUCUGUAUCAGUUACAUCUUAAUGGUACAAUCACUGAAACCUGGACAUCAGUAUUGUUGCAAUGCUAAGGAAAUUACAACCCACCAAAGUGAUAGGAAAAUUUCCAUAAACCUAAAACAUUUGAACAUUCAGCAGCUGCAAGCAAGAAACCUUUCUACCUGAAUUUAAACAAAGCCUCCUGAAAGUACAUCUGCCAGCAUGAAGAAACUUUGUCUUUUCUGCUGUAAAUCUGUCAGUCGUCAGUUAUUCCCAGCCUCCUUUCCAACCCCUACCAUUAGAACCAAGUCCACAGUCAAGGUAGGGAUUGAUAUAGUCAAGGCAAAGAGCUCUUUUUUCACAAGCAUUACUUAGAACGAGGAAAGGAAUUCUGUUACAAGUUAAGUUUCCCCCACUCCUUUCCCUGCCUCUUUGGUGAUGUGACCUUGCUUAGUUUCUCAUACCUCCUAAAGUGUGGCCUGAUUUAAAAAAAGAAAAAAAAAA
rnacentral:lncRNA from 1 species